GACGAACGCUGGCGGCGUGCUUAACACAUGCAAGUCGAACGGAAAGGCCCUGCUUGUGUGGGGUGCUCGAGUGGCGAACGGGUGAGUAACACGUGAGUAACCUGCCCUUGACUUUGGGAUAACUUCAGGAAACUGGGGCUAAUACCGGAUAGGAGCUCCUGCUGCAGGGUGGGGGUUGGAAAGUUUCGGCGGUUGGGGAUGGACUCGCGGCUUAUCAGCUUGUUGGUGGGGUAGUGGCUUACCAAGGCUUUGACGGGUAGCCGGCCGGAGAGGGUGACCGGCCACAUUGGGACUGCGAUACGGCCCAGACUCCUACGGGAGGCAGCAGUGGGGAAUAUUGCACAAUGGGCGGAAGCCUGAUGCAGCAACGCCGCGUGCGGGAUGACGGCCUUCGGGUUGUAAACCGCUUUCGCCUGUGACGAAGCGUGAGUGACGGUAAUGGGUAAAGAAGCACCGGCUAACUACGUG
rnacentral:rRNA from 1 species